AUUGAACGCUGGCGGCAGGCCUAACACAUGCAAGUCGAACAGUAACAGGAAGAAGCUUGCUUCUUUGCUGACGAGUGGCGGACGGGUGAGUAAUGUCUGGGAAACUGCCUGAUGGAGGGGGAUAACUACUGCAAACGGUAGCUAAUACCGCAUAACGUCGCAAGACCAAAGAGGGGGACCUUCGGGCCUCUUGCCAUCGGAUGUGCCCAGAUGGGAUUAGCUAGUAGGUGGGGUAACGGCUCACCUAGGCGACGAUCCCUAGCUGGUCUGAGAGGAUGACCAGCCACACUGGAACUGAGACACGGUCCAGACUCCUACGGGAGGCAGCAGUGGGGAAUAUUGCACAAUGGGCGCAAGCCUGAUGCAGCCAUGCCGCGUGUAUGAAGAAGGCCUUCGGGUUGUAAAGUACUUUCAGCGGGGAGGAAGGGAGUAAAGUUAAUACCUUUGCUCAUUGACGUUACCCGCAGAAGAAGCACCGGCUAACUCCGUG
rnacentral:rRNA from 1 species